UUUGAUGUAACUGUUAAGACCGUCUGUGGGAUAAAGCUUUAUCCCAAAGGGCCUCAUGAUUCAAGUUCGCUAAGAAAUUUCUUAAUAAGGAACUCGAAUCAUUCACAGUUUUUAAGUUUUCUAAUAAAAGUUCCAAGUCCGUUGUGGAUUUACACUCCACGUCCAGAUUAUCCCGGGCCAGUUGCCUGGCCAAAGCAUCAAAGUCGAAAUUGGAAAAAUCCAGUUCUGGAAAAGCCCCGACAACGCUCUUCCGCGCACAAAACUUUUUCAGAUGUUUGUGAAGAACCGCUUCGAUCCUAUUUUCGAGCCUUUUUUCUUCUUCUGUCCGGUGAGGCGCAGAGGAAGAAGGGACUUCCCGUUUUUGUUCGUGCUGGN
rnacentral:lncRNA from 1 species